rnacentral:rRNA from 1 species
GUAGGGAAUAUUGGACAAUGGGGGCAACCCUGAUCCAGCGACGCCGCGUGAGUGACGAAGGCCUUCGGGUCGUAAAGCUCUGUUGCAAGGGAAAAACAAAAUGAUGGUACCUUGCUAGAAAGGAUCGGCUAACUUCGUGCCAGCAGCCGCGGUAAGACGAGGGAUCCUAGCGUUGUUCGGAAUUAUUGGGCGUAAAGCGGGUGUAGGUGGCUUUGUAAGUCAGGUGUGAAAGCCUGGGGCUUAACCCCAGAAGUGCAUUUGGUACUGCGAAGCUUGAGUGCUGGAGAGGCUACUAGAAUUCUUGGUGUAGUGGUGAAAUACGUAGAUAUCAAGAGGAAUACCGGAGGCGAAGGCGGGUAGCUGGCCAGACACUGACACUCAGACCCGAAAGCGUGGGGAUCAAACAGGAUUAGAUACCCUUGUAGUC